AAUGAACGCUGGCGGCAUGCCUUACACAUGCAAGUCGAACGGCAGCAUGACCUAGCUUGCUAGGUUGAUGGCGAGUGGCGAACGGGUGAGUAAUGCAUCGGAACGUGCCUUUUAGUGGGGGAUAACGUAGCGAAAGUUACGCUAAUACCUCAUAUUCUCUGAGGAGGAAAGCAGGGGACCUUCGGGCCUUGCGCUAGAAGAGCGGCCGAUGUCGGAUUAGCUAGUUGGUGAGGUAAAGGCUCACCAAGGCAACGAUCCGUAGCGGGUCUGAGAGGAUGAUCCGCCACACUGGGACUGAGACACGGCCCAGACUCCUACGGGAGGCAGCAGUGGGGAAUGUUGGACAAUGGGCGCAAGCCUGAUCCAGCCAUGCCGCGUGAGUGAAGAAGGCCUUCGGGUUGUAAAGCUCUUUCGGCUGGGAAGAAAUCGCACCCUCUAAUACAGGGUGUGGAUGACGGUACCAGCAUAAGAAGCACCGGCUAACUACGUG
rnacentral:rRNA from 1 species